CGGACUGUUCUCAAACCUGCACAUGCAUGCCGUGGAGCUUUGCAUGCUUACACACUCACACACAAAUGUAAAAACAACAACAACAAACAGCUGGUCAAGUACCGCCACAGGCAUGAGGAAUCCAGCAAUGGACAGAACAGGCUCAAAGAAGAGGAGGGAGCCCUAGCCUCCUGCAGCUGUGCGGAACCCACCACACCACCAACAGAGCUGAGAACCAGGCAGAGGAAACCAGAAACCCUGGCGUUCUUGGCAAGCACAGCUUCCUUGGUUGAGCCUACUGGCUUCGAGUCCCUCUCUUUCAACUGCCACCUUCUGAAAGCCUGGCCCUCUCCAAUCUGCACCAGUUUGUGGGAGAGGAAGAAGUGGCCUAGUUCUCCAUCUGUCCUGUUCCUUUCAACGUGGUUGCUGAAUGUGGCGGUCCCCAGUAGAAUGACAAGUUCCCUGACCCGGAGGAGUGGAGUUCUGUUUCCAUGAGUGGGGGGUAUGCUUCGUGAACCACACUCAAGCAGGGUGCAGCCUGGUCCACCGCACUCAGUGCUGGUCACCUGGUCAUGGGGAGGAAAACAAGACUUUACUGCAGCCUGGGAGCU